UCUGGUUGAUUCUGCCAGUAGUCAUAUGCUUGUCUCAAAGAUUAAGCCAUGCAUGUCUAAGUAUAAGCAAUCUAUACUGUGAAACUGCGAAUGGCUCAUUAAAUCAGUUAUCGUUUAUUUGAUAGUACCUUACUACAUGGAUACCUGUGGUAAUUCUAGAGCUAAUACAUGCUAAAAACCCCGACUUCGGGAGGGGUGUAUUUAUUAGAUAAAAAACCAAUGCCCCUCGGGGCUCCUUGGUGAAUCAUAAUAACUUAACGAAUCGCAUGGCCUUGCGCCGGCGAUGGUUCAUUCAAAUUUCUGCCCUAUCAACUUUCGAUGGUAGGAUAGUGGCCUACCAUGGUGGCAACGGGUAACGGGGAAUUAGGGUUCGAUUCCGGAGAGGGAGCCUGAGAAACGGCUACCACAUCCAAGGAAGGCAGCAGGCGCGCAAAUUACCCAAUCCCGACACGGGGAGGUAGUGACAAUAAAUACUGAUACGGGGCUCUUUUGGGUCUCGUAAUUGGAAUGAGUACAAUCUAAAUCCCUUAACGAGGAACAAUUGGAGGGCAAGUCUGGUGCCAGCAGCCGCGGUAAUUCCAGCUCCAAUAGCGUAUAUUAAAGUUGUUGCAGUUAAAAAGCUCGUAGUUGAACCUUGGGUCUGGCUGGCCGGUCCGCCUCACCGCGAGUACUGGUCCGGCUGGACCUUUCCUUCUGGGGAAUCCCAUGGCCUUCACUGGCUGUGGGUGGAACCAGGACUUUUACUGUGAAAAAAUUAGAGUGUUCAAAGCAGGCCUUUGCUCGAAUACAUUAGCAUGGAAUAAUAGAAUAGGACGUGCGGUUCUAUUUUGUUGGUUUCUAGGACCGCCGUAAUGAUUAAUAGGGAUAGUCGGGGGCGUCAGUAUUCAGCUGUCAGAGGUGAAAUUCUUGGAUUUGCUGAAGACUAACUACUGCGAAAGCAUUCGCCAAGGAUGUUUUCAUUAAUCAGGGAACGAAAGUUAGGGGAUCGAAGACGAUCAGAUACCGUCGUAGUCUUAACCAUAAACUAUGCCGACUAGGGAUCGGGCGGCGUUUCUAUGAUGACCCGCUCGGCACCUUACGAGAAAUCAAAGUUUUUGGGUUCUGGGGGGAGUAUGGUCGCAAGGCUGAAACUUAAAGAAAUUGACGGAAGGGCACCACAAGGCGUGGAGCCUGCGGCUUUAUUUGACUCAACACGGGGAAACUCACCAGGUCCAGACAAAAUAAGGAUUGACAGAUUGAGAGCUCUUUCUUGAUCUUUUGGAUGGUGGUGCAUGGCCGUUCUUAGUUGGUGGAGUGAUUUGUCUGCUUAAUUGCGAUAACGAAGUCAAGCCAGAUCCAGGAAACCGUGCAAAGGUGUCAGAACCGUGGUUGGACGCGAUUUCAACCCACCGCUAGCAGAUAUU
rnacentral:rRNA from 1 species